CACAAGUGNAGAAAAAAGGAUCCAGAUUCACAUGUGUAUAAGAUUCUCUAGACUGAUUUUACAGUGAAAUUCGGACCACACAAUGCAUAGCCAAGCAAUGUCAUUCAUUGCCUUUAUUCGAUUUUAUUGUACCUUGGUCUGCUCAACUCAAAUUGUAAUGGUGAACUGAAUUUUAUGUGCAAGGUGUUAAUGUUAAUUUUAAGACUGAUUUUUAUUACAA